rnacentral:rRNA from 1 species
GCCUCAGUACGGCGAGUGAAGCGGCAAAAGCUCAAAUUUGAAAUCUAGCACCUUCGGUGUUCGAGUUGUAAUUUGAAGAUGGUAACCUUGGGUUUGGCUCUUGUCUAUGUUCCUUGGAACAGGACGUCAUAGAGGGUGAGAAUCCCGUCUGAUGAGAUGCCCAUUCCUAUGUAAGGUGCUAUCGAAGAGUCGAGUUGUUUGGGAAUGCAGCUCUAAGUGGGUGGUAAAUUCCAUCUAAAGCUAAAUAUUGGCGAGAGACCGAUAGCGAACAAGUACAGUGAUGGAAAGAUGAAAAGAACUUUGAAAAGAGAGUGAAAAAGUACGUGAAAUUGUUGAAAGGGAAGGGCAUUAGAUCAGACUUGGUGUUUUACGAUUAUCUUCUCUUCUUGAGUUGUGCACUCGUAUUUCACUGGGCCAGCAUCGAUUCGGAUGGCAAGAUAAUGGCAGUUGAAUGUGGCUUCACUUCGGUGGAGUGUUAUAGCUUCUGCUGAUAUUGCCUGUCUGGAUCGAGGGCUGCGUCUUUUGACUAGGAUGCUGGCGUAAUGAUCUAAUGCCGCCCGUCUUG